UACGGAGGUGGCAAGCGUUGCUCGGAAUCACUGGGCGUAAAGGGCGCGUAGGCGGGGAGGUAAGUCGGGUGUGAAAUCCCUCGGCCCAACCGAGGAACUGCGCCCGAGACUGCUUCUCUUGAGUCCCGGAGAGGAAGAUGGAAUUCCCAGUGUAGAGGUGAAAUUCGUAGAUAUUGGGAAGAACACCGAUGGCGAAGGCAGCCAUCUGGACCGACACUGACGCUGAGGCGCGAAAGCGUGGGGAGCAAACAGG
rnacentral:rRNA from 1 species